CUCUGCAGGAUAGUGGCCCUCCAGGACCGGAGUUGCCUAUCCCUGCCAUAAAAGAACACUGUUGGAAAAACAAUAGAAUAGAACUCAACAUAAUUCAAAAGAACAAAACAGACAAGAAUGGAAUUCAACUCCCCACAAUAGAAUAGGUUAGAACACACUAUAAAAAAACAGCAGAUCCACCCUGUAUUAAAUGAAUGACACACACAGCGAGUCAGGCGAUGUAUAACACAGAAUGCAUUAAGAGAUGAAGAUAUCAGGUCAGGGACACGCAGGGAGUUGAAUUUGAUCUUCUGUUCCAUGAUCUACCAGGCAUGUCUUUUUGCUCACCCCUCCCCUCCUCGUGCUACUAGCACACUGGCUGUCAGCUGCCGGUCUCAUGACCAGAACGGCACGCACUGAGCAUGCCCGGCCUGUCAAGUGUUGUCAGGGAGAAAGAAGACAGUGGAGACAGAGAGAAAAGCAACCCAUGAGAGGAGCCAGAUGAGAAACAGGGAUGGCUAGACAAUAUGGAUGCACGUUUCUAAUUAAGAUUCUUUGUGUCAGCUGACUCACUCAAGAGGUUAUCAUGGAGACGACUUUGCGAAUAGACUCCAGGAAAUGAGCGCAACCCUUCUGUCAGCUUUGUUCAACCUGUGAUGACUUCCCAAACCAGCCUAGCCUAACCACACUUAGCUUGAAUGGAUCAAUGUGGCAGAGGAAACUCACUAGAGCAGCAACUAUGAACAGUUUGUAAUAACUUCCAAAGAUCUACAGAAACAUGGAAAUAUUUGGGUUUGCACGAUUUCUGAUCUGGUCUGCACAUGCUUCUUUUUUGUGUACAAGGAUGGCCAGGUAGGAGAUGCUAACAUCAACACACAGGAUGUCCAGAUACAGAAAGAGAUUUUGCGGGUGACUGUGGGACAGUCAACCUAACUGACCCGUUUCAUCACUGUGACGCUUUGAGAAAGUUUACAAGGGAACAUAUGAACUGAAUAUGGGAAAGAUUUACCUCAAACUAGGUUUUUUUGAUGAUGCUAGCAUCCAGUCAAGUUUAUCUUUACGUUGAAACAAGGGAAACCCGUUUUGUAACUUUUUUGAUAAAAAUUUUAUUAAUUUAUUUCUCAUUUAAUCUCUACAUCAUGUUCACUGCUUUAGAUUUUGUUUUUUACGUCAUGAAAAAAGUGACAAAUUAUUGUUGAAUUUACAGCGGUUGAAAAGGUGUAAUUUCUAUUUUGCCCACUGGGGGUCUCUAUUGCUCUAUAACAGAAUUAAAAAUGGCAUAAAAA